UACGUAGGUGGCAAGCGUUGUCCGGGUUUAUUGGGUUUAAAGGGUGCGUAGGCGGUUCAAUAAGUCAGUGGUGAAAUACGGCAGCUCAACUGUCGAGGUGCCAUUGAUACUGUUGGACUUGAGUACAGACGAGGUAGGCGGAAUUGACGGUGUAGCGGUGAAAUGCUUAGAUAUGACAUAGAACACCAAUUGCGAAGGCAGCUGGCUACACAAAUAUUGACACUGAGGCACGAAAGCGUGGGGAUCAAACAGG
rnacentral:rRNA from 1 species